rnacentral:rRNA from 1 species
CAGAACGAACGCUGGCGGCAGGCUUAACACAUGCAAGUCGAACGCACCGCAAGGUGAGUGGCAGACGGGUGAGUAACGCGUGGGAACCUUCCCUUUGGUACGGGAUAACUUCGGGAAACCGAAGCUAAUACCGUAUGAGUCCUUCGGGAGAAAGAUUUAUCGCCAAAGGAUGGGCCCGCGUUGGAUUAGCUAGUUGGUAGGGUAAUGGCCUACCAAGGCGACGAUCCAUAGCUGGUCUGAGAGGAUGAUCAGCCACACUGGGACUGAGACACGGCCCAGACUCCUACGGGAGGCAGCAGUGGGGAAUAUUGGACAAUGGGGGGAAAAACCCCCUGAUCCAGCCAUGCCGCGUGAGUGAAGAAGGCCUUAGGGUUGUAAAGCUCUUUUGGCGGGGACGAUAAUGACGGUACCCGCAGAAUAAGCCCCGGCUAACUUCGUGCCAGCCGCGGC